GGAAACAUGGCAACUAAACUAUCAAAAUGAAAGACAUGAAAUCAAAACAUGAAAGUGAACAAAAAUACAGAAACACGUGACUUGAUUUAUGGAAAUAUACUGAGUUAUCGCAAAAUGUGUAUGGAAUCGUUCUGGAUGCAGGUUCCUCACACACUGCUAUGUACAUCUACAGAUGGCCAGCAGACAAGCUGAACGGCACAGGCGUGGUCACCCAGCACAACGAGUGUCAUGUCAAAGGUUAGGGAACCCAAGGGGCCACUGUUGGUAUGAGAAUUCUGAACUAGGCUGGGGUCAGAGUGCAGGGUCAGCCAUGAUAUGGUGCCCCUGGAGCAGAUAGGGUCAAGGGCCUUGCUCAAGGGCCCAACAGUGGCAUAUUGGCGGUGCUGGGGCUUGAACCCCCGACCUUCUGAUCAGUAACCCAGAGCCUUAACUGCUGAGCCACCACUGUCCCUCCAAUUUACAAUGCAUUCAAGCAUUACCAGCCCUGAGAAAUCAGCGGAGGUUCUUCCAGAAGUAGGACAAAAAAUCAAUUCCUUUCCCUUCAGCUUUCGAGGAGCAGUUGUUUUGAGCGAUAUGUUAUUACUGAUGUAUAUGACUUUCUUUCUCCUGCAGAACACAAC